GGGGGCGUUACGGAUUCGACAGGCAUAGUUGAGCUUGAAUUGCGUUUCGUAGGUUACGGCUACGUUAAAACGUUACAGUUAAAUAUAACUGCUAAAAACGAAAACAAUUCUUUCGCUUUAGCUGCCUAAAAACCAGCUAGCGAAGAUCCUCCCGGCAUCGCCCAUGUGCUCGGGUUCGGCACGCUGUAAAGCGAACCUUUAAAUGAGUGUCUAUGAACGUAGAGAUUUAAGUGGCAAUAUGUUUGGACGCGGGUUCGACUCCCGCCGUCUCCAUUU
rnacentral:tmRNA from 1 species